rnacentral:rRNA from 1 species
UACGGAGGGUGCGAGCGUUGUCCGGAAUCACUGGGCGUAAAGGGCGCGUAGGCGGCCUGAUAAGUAGGGGGUGAAAUCCUGCGGCUUAACCGCAGGGCUGCCUUCUAAACUGUCAGGCUCGAGCACAGUAGAGGCAGGUGGAAUUCCCGGUGUAGCGGUGGAAUGCGUAGAGAUCGGGAAGAACAUCAGUGGCGAAGGCGGCCUGCUGGGCUGUUGCUGACGCUGAGGCGCGAUAGCGUGGGGAGCAAACAGG